UACGAAGGGGACUAGCGUUGUUCGGAAUCACUGGGCGUAAAGCGCACGUAGGCGGAUUUGUAAGUCAGGGGUGAAAUCCCGGGGCUCAACCUCGGAACUGCCUUUGAUACUGCGGAUCUUGAGUUCGAUAGAGGUGGGUGGAAUUCCUAGUGUAGAGGUGAAAUUCGUAGAUAUUAGGAAGAACACCAGUGGCGAAGGCGGCCCACUGGAUCGACACUGACGCUGAGGUGCGAAAGCGUGGGGAGCAAACAGG
rnacentral:rRNA from 1 species